rnacentral:rRNA from 1 species
UACGUAGGGGGCUAGCGUUGUCCGGAUUUAUUGGGCGUAAAGAGCGUGUAGGCGGCCAGGUAGGUCCGCUGUGAAAGUCCGAGGCUCAACCUCGGAAUGUCGGCGGAAACCCUCUGGCUAGAGUCCGGAAGAGGAGAGUGGAAUUCCUGGUGUAGCGGUGAAAUGCGCAGAUAUCAGGAGGAACACCAAUUGCGAAGGCAGCUCGCUGGGACGUUACUGACGCUGAGACGCGAAAGCGUGGGGAGCAAACAGG